AAAAGGUCUCCCUUUUUCCUAUUUAGACCCUGCAAGCUUUGAAAAAUGUAGAUGAGCGGUUGUGACACAUACUCUCUCUCUCCACGGCUAUAUCCCUCCGCAUCCUUCCCCAAUCGGCCUGCCCAAUUUGGAGAAGGCCAGCAAUUCCUGGGGAUGAGCUCUUCCGUUUAGAGGGGAAGAAGGGUGGGGGGCAGAAGAGAUCUUCAUGAGCGGUGUUGUGUAGUGAGUUCCGAUCCCAUAUCUUCUAGCCUGUUUGUUGGAUAAAUGUAGGGCUUUGUAUUUUACAGGUAUUUUCAUCCGCUUUUUUAGGUUUAUAGCGACCCGCCCCCCCCUUCCUGUAGGCCUAUAAAUCUGCACGUUCGGCUCUACACUUCGUCUCUCUCAUCUGGUUCCUUUCUCCCCCUCUCUCCGCCCCCUUCUCCUGCACAUCUAUUCUUCCUUAAACUGUCAUCCAUCCUCCCCGUCUUCUCAUCCUCUCUCUCUCUCUCUCUUUCUCUCUCUCUCGCGAUGUCGGGCUCCGAUUGCAGGUCAGUGCGGAGAAGUCCGAAUAGGUGCCUCUCUGAGACGAGCGGGAGGGGAGCAAGACGAGUUCUUGUGAGACGAAAGGUGACAUGGGUUGUGCCUGGCUCCCUGUAUGCCACACGUAUGGAUCAAUCUCUGAAAGAUUGGCUACUGCGGGUGGCGUGCGAGGAGCCAAGCAUACCCUCUAUUCCUUCCCCUUCCCUCUAACAUACAGGGCGGAGCCAAGCAGUCCCUCCUCUCUCUCUCUCUCUCUCUCUCUCUCUCUCUCUCUCUCUCUCUCUCUCUNNNNNNNNNNNNNNNNNNNNNNNNNNNNNNNNNNNNNNNNNNNNNNNNNNNNNNNNNNNNNNNNNNNNNNNNNNNNNNNNNNNNNNNNNNNNNNNNNNNNNNNNNNNNNNNNNNNNNNNNCCUCCUCUCUCUCUCUCUCUCUCUCUCUCUCUUUCUAUCUCUCUCUCCUGUCUUGAGAGUAAAAUUGCAUCUCAUCUUCCUGGUUUGUUCUCCCUCUUUUAGCGAUAUAGUUGGUUUCCCCACCUACCGUCCAAAAGCACCGAGUAUCUUACCUAUCGGCCCAUCCAUCUACACUAUUUUUCCUCUCUAUUUCUGGUUCUGUAUCUGCUUAUUUUUCAUUGUCGUGCAUCCUUCUUUGAUAUUAAACCCAUAUACAAGCCGGCAACAGGCAGAGAAUCUUACACGGAUUUAGCUUCGGAGUCAGGCACUGUCAUAUCUGUGCUCAUCUCCGAACAGGGAAACCACUGCGCUGGCCGCGUGGCGCGUGGACCUUCUCCUAUAUCAUCUGCUGCCGUCUAAACCUAGCCCACCCUUGUUUCCAGCAGCUCCUCCACUGGGCAAGGCCUUCCGCUACACCACCCCUGUCAAAGUUGCGGACAGGAUGGAACGAAGACGUCACUCGACCGUAUCAUUCCACUGUUUCCUUCUGCCCGUGACGUAAUGAUAUAAUUUUGUACUUAUCUUUUUCAACCUGUUAUUCUAUGCAUGCUAAUGCAUCGUUCAUUUUCUAUCCGUUUCUUCUCCGCAGUAGAUGUAUAAAACUCCCCGCAGACGUUUGUUGCUUACUGUAAUCCAGCAUGGGGGAUUCACCCCCAUUUUUGUUAAACCUUGAAGAUAAUAGGAAUCUGAUGAGAUCUUCUAUCGUGCGGUCGAUUGUGGCCCGCUUUGUACCGGCACUCUGUGCUCUCUUGAUCUCUCGCUUUUUCCUUCAGUCCAAUUUCUAUAUGAUCAUCACAAGUGAACUGUAUUCUCACUCUCGAUGUUCUGGUGAAUGCAGCAAGAAUGCGCGAGGAACACUCGAUUUAUGGUGCCGAAGAUGGAAUACAGCCCCUUUAAGUCGUCCUAUUCAUUUGAAUUCAUCACAACAAGUACUGAUGUAUCUAAGCUCUUGAAAUGACUACCGAUUCAGGCGAGUAUACCGUCGGAUCUAUUUUCCCGCGGGUAUUUAGACAAUCGGUUUGCUCUGAAAACGUCUUCCGUGAUCGCUAUCCAUUUUUGGCCAAUAUUUCUUAAGUGACAAAAUCGGAUGGCAUCUGUUACAUGCAAAUGCUAUUGCUCAAGACUUUUAUACAUCAUUCUGCUCCUCGAGCGCUCAAGAGUUUGGGAAAGCAGCCUCCAUUGACCCUUCUGUAGCUGCUUUUUGCUGGGUUUUUUUUACCCCGUGUAUGAAAGUGAGAGUGUAACCAAGCCUGCAGAGAGCAUCGAAGCAGGUCACGGCUGAGGGACGUGGUGCAGGCAUCCCCUCAGGGCUCGCAGGAGUCACUUUAGAACUGUGAAGCUUCGCUACUCGUCCGUCGAUCUCCCAUAUCCGAUUGACCACACCUGCAUCAGCUUGCAGCCCCACAGCUCUCCGUACUAUUUCUCUCGUCGGAACAUGGUGAAUCGUGAACACAAUCGAGAACUCAGCGAGUUCUCUCUCCACGGUCCCUUUCUCUCUCUUUCUCCGUCCCCCAUGUUGUAAUAUUCGGUGUGCAUGCUAACUUUUGUUUUGCUCCCGGUAAUGGAGCCACGGGCAGGUUUUUCCUUCAGGGAAUCGGCUUUCCAUUUUUCCGAGAACUGAGCAUGGCGUCCUUUACAAAGGAACUUUCAAAGGGAUGGCGGGAUGACGGAGGGGAGAGAGAGAGAGAGGGCCCUUCUUCCACAGUCGAAAGGGUACAGACCGCAGGCGGGUGGGUGUGAAUGGUGGGUGCAAGGAGCAGUGAGAAAAUUUGUCCUCUGUAAAGGGUUAACUCCGUCCUUCCAGCUCCAUGCGUGGAAACUCUACUCUGGAUAUGUGAGCUGGUCGAUUGCCAGAUCGUUACUGCGCCCUACUAAUGCCAAGAAGGCCC
rnacentral:lncRNA from 1 species